rnacentral:tRNA from 1 species
GCGGUCGUGGUGAAAUUGGUAGACACGCUACUUUGAGGGGGUAGUGGGCGUACGCCUGUGACGGUUCGAGUCCGUCCGACCGCA